rnacentral:rRNA from 1 species
ACGUAGGUGGCAAGCGUUAUCCGGAUUUAUUGGGCGUAAAGCGAGCGCAGGCGGUUGCUUAGGUCUGAUGUGAAAGCCUUCGGCUUAACCGAAGAAGUGCAUCGGAAACCGGGCAACUUGAGUGCAGAAGAGGACAGUGGAACUCCAUGUGUAGCGGUGGAAUGCGUAGAUAUAUGGAAGAACACCAGUGGCGAAGGCGGCUGUCUGGUCUGCAACUGACGCUGAGGCUCGAAAGCAUGGGUAGCGAACAG